GCUCAAAGUGGAUGCAGAAGUAUUGAAACCAUGUAUUAUGUUACUUCUGGGAGCACAUAAUCAAUAUUCUUAAGGUGACUGUUUCUACACAAAUUGACAUGAUUUUUUUCAAAUCAUGUUGUAAUCAUGACCUAUCCUUAAAAGGGAUUUAAGUAUCCCAUGAGGACUGUUAUAAAUCAUUUUGGCAGGCGAAUGUCCCAGAUCUGGUGAUAAAUUGCUCCUUUGCCAUUUGCUCUGCCGUCGGCAGGAAGGUGCUCUGGCCAGCAUGGGUCUGCUUUCCCGUGUGGUCUAGCUGGUUUGGGAAUGGUCUUCUAUGACCUGGAUUGGUUAAUCAGGGCUUUGAUUCACUUGGAGGUGCAGGGUCUUGGUAAAGGUCCUGACCUUGAUUUGAACUAGUACUGCCCAGGCCUUUGUGCCGCUGUGGGAGGGUCUACUCUCAAGCUGUGUUACAUGUGCCUUUUGACCUCUAGUUCAUCAGUCAUAUUUUUUAUAUAUAUAUAUAUAUAUAUAUAUAUAUUUCACUCAGCACUGCUUAUUAUUUGGAGCACAAAAUCAAUAGCUGAAACACAACAUGGGUAAUUGGUGUUCAUUUUUAGAUCGGUUUUAAAAAAAAUUUAUUCUUUUAUUUAUUUUUUUUUUUUUUUUUUUUUUUUUUGAUUUUACCUGCAGAGCUGAAGCUUAAUUUCUAAAUUAAAUUUAUCCUUUUUGUUGUUGAAUCACAAAGGAGCCGGAUGAUUGCUGCAGCCAAUGGAAGGGAUCAUGGCAUUUGCCACUGGAAAUGGGUGACAUGAGAAGUGCAGAUUAAUAAAAACGAGUAACUUUAAAAAUGGGUACAAGGGUCGCCACUCAGAAAACCGUGACCUGAAAAGUGCAGAUGAAUUUAAAAUGGUUGCAUAGGUUUCCACAAAAUUCAAGAUCUGUCUGUGGGAGUCUUCCAGCACAAGGUCCCUCUGGUGUGAGGAGUCCAGGUCACGGAGAGCACAGGGAAAUGCCGCAUUGGGUGGAAAAACAAGCGCAGAGGCCCCUGCAUUCCCAAGACCAACUUUUCUAAUUUCCAAACUCUGGAACAUGCACUCACCGAAACGGGAGCUUGGUCCUAACUAUAAACUAGUAAUGAUGUGCUGAAAGGUGAAUGGGUUAUGAUUAACAUUAUUGAAAUAAAUUCUUAUUGAAACAUUUAUUUUUGUAUCCAUUUGUUCAGGAUUUAGAAAAAUAUGGGAGAACUAACCAUGUUUUAGGGUGACUGAACUUUCGCCCAGCAAAACUGCAAUGACUACAUCUUCCUCUAGAACUUGUGUUCUUUGACUGAGUUUAGCAUGAGCCCUGGCCAGAACCAGAAAAAGGUCAUGUGUAUGAAAUGGUCAUAUUUCUACUUGUAUGGUGUGCUGCUUCAUCUGCAUAAUCGAAGAUUAAUACAAUUAGAUAAUUAUUUUUAGAUUUGUAUGUUCAUUAGCUAAAUAUUAAAGUUUUGGAAAAGACCAUCUCUAAAUAAACUGACAUCGUAAUGUAAAUAUAAUAAAAAAAAAUAACAAUUGUUCAGCCCUUUUGGAAACUACGUGCUGGAUUUGUAGACUUGUUAUAUAACUGCUCCAUCUAGUGGUAUAAAUCAGGCAUUCAUAUAUAGCUGUGGGUAUUUUGUUUUUGUAGCACUUACAUCAGUUUGACAGUGACUGAAACUGGAUCUCUCUGAGUCUGAACAAACCCUGUGACUGCCCAUGUAAUGGCUGUGGAUC
ensembl:lncRNA